GGAACAAUAUGAACAUCGGUGAUAGAUCAGCCUGUGAUGAAUGCUUCACCAGCAGAGGGCGAUACAGGACUACACUUCACUAGAGCGCGAGACCGGUAUCUGCCCUCGGGCUAUACGGCAGUUAAGGGAGAGCCAGGAAGCUGUCGUCUGUCCAGGAUGCAGUCAGGUUUCGCCCACCUGUACACAUCAUAAACCCAGAUGAAAGGAGACUUUAAAAACAUACUUUAUUGGCAAAUAUGUUCCCCUCCACCCUGCCUUUGGAAAUCUCCUUUAAACAGCGUGUGCCUGUGAGAGGAGAGACUGUUUGCUCUCUGGCUCUGUAUCUCUGAUAAAUGUCACCUGGUCCAGUCUUUGUUAGUGUGAACAGGGAAACGAGAAGCAUAUGUCUAUGACCAUCCAAACACGGAAGUAACCAGGACACACCCGGAGUCAUAAACUGUGGCAAAGGGCCAAACCUUUGGAUCAUAUGCAGAUAGGUAGGGAAUAUAGGCAAUACCUGAACCUGAACAAUUCCUGGUAAAUGAACAAUAGUACAAAAGAACAAAGAGAUUAUGCAUUAAUGUUAGAAAGAAUAAUGAGGUAUGUGUUUAAGUAAGUUUUUUUAUUAUAAUGUAUCCUGUAUUUUU